GCAACUCUUAAAAGUUCAGAUAUGGCACCGACCUUACAUCACAAAUUCCCUCUUUAGAAUCCAGUAGUAUUAAUUCCUAUUAUGACAAUUGACUUAUUCAAUUUUGAAAUUUUCUUGAAAUUAAAUGCAAUUUCAGCCUCAAAUGAUGUGAAUAAAAUACAACAAUAGUGAAUUGGCGACAUAGGCUUUGGAUCAUUACCAAGAUUACUAUAGAGAAAAAUUCAAGCCUACAAAUAGAGAUGUAUUUCAAGAUUGAAAUAUAUAGUUAAGAAGAGAAUCGUUGUGAUUGAGCAAAUCUUAAUGCUCUAGAUAAAUGUUUCCCAGAUUGGACAAUACUUGUGGAUUCUCAGGUUGAAGUAGGAGGCAUUGCUCCAUGCAUUCAUCUGAAAGGUUGAGAAAACAGCAUAAAGGCACUGCUUCAUGCAUUCACUUGAAAGUAUUUUCUGUCUCACUUUAUGUGGUACUUUUUGCUUAUCGAGAUACAAAUUACGUGAAAUUUGAUAUUUUAAAAUGUGUCUAUUCACCACAUUGACAUGUGAAGAAUUGAAACUUACAGUACUUAUCACAUAAUUUUU
rnacentral:lncRNA from 1 species